UUCAGAAAUUAAAAAGAAUUAUUCUUCAAAUAUUAUUUUUUUUUCAAAUUUCAAAUAUUGAAAAAUUUCAAGAAGUAAUCUUUAAUUGCACAGUAUGGCGCAUUAGAUUUGUAAAAUCUUUGACCACAUUUAUUUAUUUGUUAUGCAGAAUCUAACCGUGUAUUUAGAUUUUUAAUUUUGGGUCCAGUUUUCAAAUUGGUCUACAUUAAGGUCCAAAGGGUCCAAAAUAAAACUUUGUUUGAUUUUAACAAGAAUUGAAUAUAUGGGGUUCUUUGGUAUGCUGAAUCUAAACCUGUAUUUAGAUUUUUGAUUUUUGGCCCAGUUUUCAAGUUGGUCCAAGUUGGGGUCCAAAAUUUAACUUUGUUUGAUUUCAACAAAAAUUGAAUAUAUGGGUUCUUUGAUAUGCUGAAUCUAAACAUGUAUUUAGAUUUUUUAUUUGUGGACCCCGCUAUCAAAUUGGUUCAUAUUGAGGUCAAAAGGGUCCAAAAUUAAACUUUGUUUGAUUUCAUCAAAAAUUGAAUUAUUGGGGUUCUUUGAUAUGCCAAAUCUAACUGUGUUUUUAGAUUUUUAAUUUUGGGUCCUGUUUUUUAAAUUGGUCUACAUUAAGGUCCAAAGGAUCCAAAAUUAAAGUUAGUUUGAUUUUAACAAAAAUUGAAUUAUUGGGGUUCUUUGAUAUGCUGAAUCUAAAACAUGUGUUUAGAUUUUUGAUUAUGGGCCCAGUUUUCAAGUUUGUCCAAGUUGGGGUCCAAAAUUAAACUUUGUUUGAUUUCAACAAAAAUUGAAUAUAUGGGGUUCUUUGAUAUGCUGAAUCUAACCAUGUAUUUUGAUUUGGACAUUGGACCAUAAUAGGUAAAUUAAAAAAAAAUCAAGUUCUUAGACCACAUUCUUUCUGUGUCAGAAACCUAUGCUGUGUCAAAUAUUUAAUCACAAUCCAAAUUCAGAGCUGUAUCAAGCUUGAAUGUUGUGUCCAUACUUGCCCCAAAUGUUCAGGGUUCGACCUCUGCGGUCGUAUCAAGCUGCGCCCAGCGAAGCAUUUUAUUAAAACAUUUAUUAGAUUCAUAAACUAUCCUGGAUUUUUACCAAACUUGGACAGAAGCUACUUACAGUCAAAAGAUAGUAUAGAGAGGAAUAUUUUUAGUAAUUUUUUUCCUCAUUUUUGUUGAGCCUGCGAUUAACAGCAAAAGUAUGCAAGACACCGGGUUCCGUGGAACCCUUACGAAUUUUUUUAGUUUAAGAGAAUGGAUUUCUAUGAAAUUUUCCCAGAAGGUUCAAUACCACAAAGGGAAGGCUGGGAUUGAGUUUUGGGGUAAUUGCCCCAAACGUU